AAAGAUUUUUGGUAUAGUGAUAUCUCACUUCGUCUGAUUCGGAAAAGGCAGACCUCGACUGCCUUAGGAUUGAGACAGACUCUUGUUAAUCUGAAUAAGGUUGUCAUCUCAUCUGCUAUUGUCCGGAUACUUGGCGAGUCGAGAAAUUCCGAAUAAAUGGUGGGAUUUUAGAAGACUUGCUAUGCAAGAAUCUGCUGGUGCAAUUCAAAUUGCAAGGCAUUCAAUUGCCUUGUUGCAAAUUAGACAACAAGGAUAACGCUGGAUCCGAGAUGCGUUACGCCUGUACGGGACUUUUACAAACGAUUGUUGAUUCUUUCAUUACUGAGUUUAUCUGGAUCUACUGCCAUCUGCUCUGAUGGAGGAACUUGACCAGAUACAAGUAGCUUUGUUUUCAGGAACAACAUAUCCUAAAUUUCAAGCUUCCUGAACAGUUCAGAAAAUUUCUUCAGAAAAUCAAGUCCAGAAGAUCCCAAGUAAUCGAAUUUAACAUGGAGAUCAAUAUUGGUGGUCAAGAUAUUUUGCCUUCACGUUUUAUGCCAAUACCUUCAAAAUUCAAAGUGUACAUCAUCGAUAGAGUUGAAAAUCGUAUGGAGAUAUUGACAGCUUUUAUAACGAAAACUAUAUUUAGCAGAAAUACCAUUCAAAACGAACUUUGUAGGGAUGCAGUUAAAUCUGAUAUAGAUCCUGAGAGAAUUUGAGGUUAUCCUCCGAAACUGAAGAACUUUUACACAAGCCAGGCUGUCAUGGAUGAUGCACUGGUGCUCCACCAGUCUGCUCACUUCAUGAGCAUGAAAUCUAUAACCGUGAACUACCCGAGUGGCUGUCAUCAUCGUCACCAAUAAUCAACAUGCGCGAUGAUUCCCUAUAAUGCUUCUUGCAGCAAUACAGUGCACCCACGAAUUUGGACAAGGCUCUCUGCAUUGGAAUACGUACUUUUCAUAAAGUACUCCAGAAGCGACCACGCAAGACACCUCUUCUAAAUUCUAAUGUCAUUUUUUAAAUGUGAUUGUAGGAAGAUCAUGAACAGUUUGGCAACUUUUAUAAUAAGUUUCUCAAA